UUGUGUCUCAUUUGUACUUUUUAAUGGUACUCAAAAGCAAAAAGAGUGGGAAGAAGAGGAAGACAAGGGGACUGCAACACUAUCCUCCCUCUUCUUCAUCCCACUCCAUGUUGUUCAUUUCAGGUGUUGAGGGUCUGACAGUGUGUGGAGCUGUUAAUAUGCACCAAAGCCCAUGCACAUCAAUGAAUGACUUCACAGUGAUUAGGGUUCCCAAUCAAUUGCAAAGCAGAGUGAAAGUAGGACAGCAGUCUCAACCUCCAUAUGAACUGCAUCACCAACACCACAUCAGCAAAUAUGACAGAAUAAAAAAAUGCCAGCAUUCCAUCAGAUUCCCCAAUAGCUUUACUCCAAUAUUGCUAUGAUCAACCACUAAUACCCUGUGGAUUUAUUUACCAACCUGCAGCAAAGCUAUGACUUCUGUUCGCUUUUGCCCUUGGAUUUAUAAAAGAUGCAGUGUUGGGGUAGGGGUAGCUUUUUUGGUCUGUGUGAACAUCACUCUCAGGGAUGGUCCAGUUCAGUACAAGGUUUGACAGUCCAGAUCAAUAGUGGCAAGGCCAGCUCCACUAAAACAAGCCCAUCACAGCAGGAGCCACAUAUCAUCUUAUCAAAGUAGGCUGCAGCCAACCCUCCCACCAGCCAAUACACCAAUCAGAAUAAUACAUCAAAGUCAAGGUGAAGCAAUCUGCAGUAUAGCGUUGUAGUGCCAGAGGAACCUGCAGGUUUGACUGCAGCAGCACACUAGCAUGAGCAAAUACAGGAUGUUCCUUCAAGAUGCACUAUGCAGAAAUGGUCAUUUCCUGGUUGCAAAAAUUAUAAUAGUUUGCGUAAUUUUAGAUAUGUGACAAAACAAGCAAGUAUAGCGUAGAGAAUCAAUCAUUGUACCAAAUAGUGUUUUCAGCUGGUGUACAAAACCGAAAGUAAAAGACGCAGAAAGGAAACUUAACGGGAAGCAUAGGAAGAGCGCACAUAGAACAGAUCUACCGCUUCUUAGAAAAACCAAACAAAAUUAGUGACAGAACUGAUAAAUCUCAGUGAAAUGUCAGUUUAUCAACUGGCUCGCUCUCAGAACCUAACAAUUGAGCCUGGGGACGAGUCGGUCAUAAAGUUUCACACUGCCUAUUGUUUGAUUGACAAGAUACAUUUAUUUAUAAUUCAGCCACAAAUAAAGAGAAAAUCACAGAAUAAACAGCUGGUGAGGUUGGGGUGCAUUUUAUAUAAAUAAUAAUUAAAACCCAUUUUGGGGACUAAAACACCAAAACAAAACUAAAGAUGCAAAAAAAAAAUCUAAAGCAAAGACAUUCUUGAAUAGUUCUGCAUCCUUGGCUUGUCUAUAGUUCCCUUUCCUUUAGCCUGCAUAUGCCGUUAAUGCAUUUUUUAUUAAAUGAUCAUACUUAUUACUGUUACAAAUAUUGUAGUUUAUUGAAAUGAUCCAUGUCAUUCAAUACACAUCACAAUGUGCGCUUUAAUACAGAGUAACUGUAGGAGAAACAGUGUAGUAGUCUAAAACGAGCUACAUUCAUACAGUGAGGGGUGGGAUUCCCAGUAUGAUUUGCAGAAGGGGGUAAGUCCUAGCCUCUUCUCCAUUUCUCUCUGGAGCUUCACUUACAUCAUCACGUUGUCAGACAGAAAAUAACUAGUGAAAUAAACCACUGUAGUGCAUCAUGUCCUGUUAUUGCAUGCUGCAGACCAGGCUGUCAAAACAUUCAUCACCCAAACGUCAGGGAGCCGGAAAAUAGAGAACACAAACCUGAGGGAAUCAAAAACCGACAAUUAGCUACAAUCAUUUACAGUAUUACUCAAUGAGUUAUUAGCACCCCUCAAUUAAACAUUUGCGCAAUACAGUUAAAGAUGACUGAAUAGAGGAUUCACAUAGUAUUUACAGUCUAAAUAAUGGAGGAUUCACAUAGUAUUACAGUCUAAAUGAUGGACGACUCAUAGCAUUACAGUCUAAAUGAUGGAGGACUCAUAGUAUUACAGUCUAAAUGAUGGAGGAUUCACAUAGUAUUACAGUCUAAAUAAACAAUGGAACCAAGAUUGUAUGGACAGUAUUCUGCAUCUGUAUUGCUUCUCCACUCAGUUGGUGCUGUAAGCCUCUGUGGCCAUUCGCAGUGAGUGGGAAAUUAUGUCAUCUUCAAUUUCAUACAGCACUGUAGAUGUAAAUGAUUUUAUUGCCAUAUUUGAAACACUACCAGGGGUACUGUAUUAUAUAAUUAUUUUAGCAAAUAUGAUGUGUU
ensembl:lncRNA